AUGGCUUCUUGGGCUUUUUGCUAAGAUCAAAGUGUAGUAUCUGUUCUUACCACCUAAAUAUCUGAUACAAGAAAUAUGUGUCCUCUUCGAUAUUAAACUUAUUUCUGAUUAGGGAUGGAAUUAUGACGCUUGUGUCGUUUCCACUACAAGUCCACCUGGUAUUGCAGUACCUCCAGGAAUGGAAAAAAGUUUU
rnacentral:snRNA from 1 species